GACGAACGCUGGCGGCGUGCCUAAUACAUGCAAGUCGAACGCAGUGGGGACGGGUGAGUAACACGUGGGUAACCUCCCAUCAGAGGGGAUAACACUUGGAAACAGGUGCUAAACCGAUACUGAUGGAUGGACCCGCGGUGCAUGGGCUAGUUGGUGAGGUAACGGCUCACCAAGGCCACGAUGCAUUGCCGGCCGGAGAGGGGGAUCGGCCACACUGGGACUGAGACACGGCGCAGACUCCUACGGGAGGCAGCAGUGGGGAAUCUGCUGAAAUUGACGAAAGUCUGAACGAGCAACGCAGCGUGAGUGAAGGGGGUUUUCGGAUCGUAAAACUCUGUUGUUAGAGAAGCGGUAUCUAACCAGAAAGCCACGGCUAACUACGUGCCAGCAGCCGCGGUAAUAC
rnacentral:rRNA from 1 species